rnacentral:rRNA from 1 species
GACGAACGUUUGCGUCGUGCUUAACACAUGCAAGUCGAACGGUAAGGCCCUUCGGGGUACACGAGUGGCGAACGGGUGAGUAACACGUGGGUGAUCUGCCCUGCACUUCGGGAUAAGCCUGGGAAACUGGUUCUACUACCGCAUAGUCCCACUGCCUUCAUGGGUGGUGGUGGUAAGCUUUUGCGGUGUGGGAUGGGCCCGCGGCCUAUCAGCUUGUUGGUGGGGUGAUGGCCUACCCAGGCGACGACGGGUAGCCGGCCUGAGAGGGUGACCGGCCACACUGGGACUGAGAGACGGCCCAGAGUCCUACGGGAGGCAGCGGUGGGGAAUAUUGCACAAUGGGCGCAAGCCUGAUGCAGCGACGCCGCGGGAGGGAUGACGGCCGUCGGGUUGUAAACAUCUUUCAGCACCGACGAAGCGCAAGUGACGGUGGGUGCAGAAGAAGGAACGGCCAACUACGUGCCAGCAGCCGCAGGAA